GUUCUUCAAGUUUCAUCACUUUAUUCACUCUUUGUGGACCUUGAAAGACCCCAUUUUGAUUGUUAUCUCAAUCUACUAUCAGCAAUCACCACCAUGUUUGUCAAGUGGCUUCAUUGUGUUUUGUGUGUGGUUCCUGGAUUGAUUGCGAAUACCAGUCACUUGGGAGUUCUUUUCUCAUAAGUUUGAGAACUAGUCCGAAACUCCUCUGGGCACAAGUGAGCCCCGAGGCAGCCACA
rnacentral:lncRNA from 1 species